rnacentral:rRNA from 1 species
AGACUGCAGUCGAGCGGGGUAGGUUUAUACCUGCCCAGCGGCGGACGGGUGAGUAACGCGUGGGUGACCUACCCGGAAGAGGCGGGCAACCUGGGGAAACCCAGGCUAAUCCGCCAUGUGGUCCUGUCCUGUGGGGUAGGACUAAAGGGUGAAUAGCCCGCUUCCGGAUGGGCCCGCGUCCCAUCAGCUAGUUGGUGGGGUAAAGGCCCACCAAGGCGACGACGGGUAGCCGGUCUGAGAGGAUGGCCGGCCACAGGGGCACUGAGACACGGGCCCCACUCCUACGGGAGGCAGCAGUGGGGAAUCUUGGGCAAUGCCCGCAAGGGUGACCCAGCGACGCCGCGUGCGGGAAGAAGCCCUUCGGGGUGUAAACCGCUUUUCUGGGGGAAGAAUAAGGCGGGGAGGGGAAUGUCCCGCCGAUGACGGUACCCCAGGAAUAAGGGACGGCUAACUACGUGCCAGCAGCCGCGGUAAGACGUAGGUCCCGAGCGUUGCCCGGAUUUACUGGGCGUAAAGUGCGCGUAGGCGGUUCGGCAAGUCGUCUGUGAAAGCCCGGGGCUCAACCCCGGGAGGCCGGGCGAUACUGCCGGGCUAGAGGACGGCAGAGGAGGGUGGAGCGGCCGGAGUAGCGGUGAAAUGCGUAGAUACCGGCCGAAAUCCCGAUGGCGAAGGCAACCCUCUGGGCCGGUCCUGACGCUGAGGCGCGAAAGCGUGGGGAGCGAACCGGAUUAGAUACCCGGGUAGUCCACGCCCUAAACGAUGCGGGCUAGGUGUCGGCCCGUAUUGGGUCGGUGCCGCAGCUAACGCGUUAAGCCCGCCGCCUGGGCAGUACGGCCGCAAGGCUGAAACUCAAGGGAAUUGACGGGGUCCCACACAAGCGGUGGAGCAUGUGGUUCAAUUCGAUGCUAAACGAAGAACCUUACCCGGGCUUGACAUGCAGGUGGUACCGACCCGAAAGGGAAGGGACCCAGGGCCGAAAGGCGCCUGGGAGCCUGCACAGGUGCUGCAUGGCUGUCGUCAGCUCGUGCCGUGGGGUGUUGGGUUAAGUCCCGGAACGAGCGCAACCCCUGCCGCCAGUUGCCAGCGGGCCCAUAUGGGUGCCGGGGACUCUGGCGGGACUGCCGGCGAAUAGCCGGAGGAAGGAGGGGAUGACGUCAAGUCCUCAUGGCCCUUAUGCCCGGGGCUACACACAUGCUACAGUGCCCGGUACAAUGGGACGCGAAGGGGCGACCCGGAGCAAAUCCCACCAAAGCCGGGCAUGGUGCGGAUUGCAGGCUGCAACCCGCCUGCAUGAAGAGGGAAUCGCUAGUAAUCGCGGGUCAGCUACACCGCGGUGAAUACGUACUUGGGGCUUGUACACACCGCCCGUCACGCCAACCGAGUGGGGGGCACCUGAAGUCGUCCGAAGAGGCGC